GUCUUACAGUCCUCAACAUAAAAUGCAGUGUUACCAGGUCAGUUUCCACAGAAUUGUUUAUUUAGAAUUUGCAUAUUUUGAGUUCUGGGGCCCGUUCUUCGUACGUCGCUAACUCGGUUAGCUGGAUUUGAUUGUUGACGAUUUGGCAUGAUCUUGGAUUGUUUGGUUCUUCGAAGCUCAUCCUGGACUUGCUGUCAUAGCAACAGGUCCGUAAGCUUGAACCUGCUCGGGAGCAGGCUUACUUCAUGUAAACAGGAUUAGAUCACGGCUUUAUAAGCGGAGGUGAUAUGGGAAGUCUUUCGCAGCCAUGUCUUGUCCGUUUUUACGUCAGGAAUGCGUUGCUGAAGGUACCAGAAUAAUUCGAAGAGCUUUUCGAAUUAAUCGCUUUUUGCGAGAUCGACAGGAUCCUUUAGCGCAGCGCGAUAAUCUACUGAUUGAGAGAUAUUGUUUUUCUCUGGAGGGUGUAAUAUACAUUAUCAACUUGUUGGAGCCACACGUUAAAUGUUCGACUCGUCGCAGUCGGGGUUUAACAACUGCACAGUUUGAAUAGCUUUGCGAUUCUUUGCGAGUGGCACUUUCCUUUACACUAUUGGAGAUGCAGAAUACCUGGGUAAAAAUGCUGUAUGUCGUGCCACUCGCAAAGUUUAUCUGUCACUCAAACAGUUUUUAGGGGGCUUUGUGGUAUUUCCAUGCCACUUAAGACCACAGGCUGUGAAGCAGAUUUUUUUUUGCCAUUGCAGGUACAUUAUAAUUGUUAAUGAAGAUCAUGGAAUCAUGAUCAUGCCAAAAAGUAGCCUAGGACUUACAGUAUUUGUUCCUCAGGCUUCCCUAAUGUUAUUUGUGCCAUAGACUGCACACAGGUCCCCAUCAAGGCCCCACCUGGCCCAAAUGAAGGGGAUUUUUUUAACAGAAAGGGAUUUCACAGUGUAAAUGUGCAAGUAAAUUACUAUAACAAUUAUUCAUAUUCCAGAUAAGCAAUAAAUAAAUAAAAGUAACGUAAUCAAAAAGUAUGCAGACUGAUUUCAAAUAUUUUAGAUGGUGUGCGACUCCAUGUUCCACAUCACAAAUGUGGAAGCCACAUGGCCUGGUUCUGUGGGUGACUCCAGGAUUUUCAGAGAGUCACAUUUAUGCACAUUAUUUGAACGUGGUGCUGACGAUGGGAUCCUGUUCGGCGACAGGGGCUAUGCCUUCAGGCAGGCAGUACUUCAUGACGGCAUUCCCCAACCCAAACCCUGGACCACAAACCCGUUACAAUGCAGCUCUAGCCAGGACAAGGCCACGCAUUGAAAUGACCUUUGGCCAACUAAAGGAAGAUUUCAGUGUCUUAAGGGUCUGAGGGUUGCACCUGGAGAGGACCCCUGCGGUGGAGGUGCAGCCUGAUGAUGACCUCCAGCCAGUGCACUUGGACCAAUAGUGGCAGAGCUGCACAGGACAGUAUUGUGGAACACGAUUUUAUGAAUUCUUUUUUUUACACAUAAACUUUCAUUAAAUGAAUAAUAGAAGACAA